CAGCGUAAUUUUUCUGACAAAACAGUUGGUUCAAAAUUUUUGGAAUUUUUAUAUUUUCGUUAAAGGGUCAAAGUAAAUACUUUGACAAAAUUUUAAGAAAAUUAAACGAGCCAAAUAAAUUUUUAGUGAAAGUGUUGGGUACCACCUUAAUAAGGAAAGAGUCAAGCUUUACAUUAUCAUAACGAUUUAAAUUAGCGUUAUGUUUCUACUUAUGAAAAUCAUGACAAUAAAUAGCUCGCGAAAAUAAGUUGGUUUACAGUAAUUUCAUUAUUUCCAGUAACUACUCUUUUAUAAAUUAUUAUCAUAAGAUAAUAUUUAUAAUAUAUUCGUCACAAUUUUGUAAAGUUGUGUUUAUACAAAUGGUGCAACUGUUAUUUAUUCAUUGUAAUUGUGAAACUUUCCACUGGUUUCAUGUGCUUUGCUGUGUACUUUAGAAGUUCACUACUUGUUUAAAUUUUACCCACUUAGUCUUAAUAACAUAGUUUAAAAGUACAUCACACUUUAUCUUAUGAUGAGUUCAAUUAUUAACCUUAAACAUUCAUACUUUAUACUAUACAAUUAAUUUUAAAAUCAGAAUUUAUAUUUUUCCUAAUGUUGUUUGUAUCUAAAAAUCAAUACAUGUACAUAUCUUUAGAUUUCUAUAAUUUUGGUGUAUAUGUUUAAAUCUGUGGAAAAGAUUUAUAUUAUUUUGAAUUACAAAUAUCAACUUUAACAAAGUGAACAUUAAAAAUAAUUUCAAUUACAAAAAUAAUUGAUUGGGGCAUUUAUAUUUAUAGUAAAACUUACUGUCAGAAUAUAUAUCAUGCCUUACGCCUGCCAGUUUAUCCCACCAAACAAUUGCCUAAUAUAUAUAUAUAUAUAUACAUGCUUCAUAUACAGACGUUAAAUACUGUGGAUUCAUUAUUUUCGUGAGAAAUAAUUUUAUGUGAAUUGAGGGAAAUUUGCCUUUUCGUUGAUGUGUGAUUUCUUAUUUUUCUGAAAUACAACCUGAUAGAAAAUUUGUAAUUCUUUGAAAAAAUAAUUUGUGGUUCACCUGUACCCACAAAAACCCCUAAAAAUUGAUAUCCGACAAAUAAUAAUAUUUCCACAGUAUAUUGUUUAAUGGUAUACAAAUGAAGUCUGUUUUAAAUGAAUCUUAUACAUUUUUCUUAUAAUUGCAAAUUGAAUGUUUAUUUAUUCAGGGCAUUUAUAAAAUUUGAUUUUUUUUUUUUAAAGAAAUGUAUAUGUUGGAGUUUUACCCAUAGUUCUUAAUGCCUCUUCUGUGACAAAUUAUUUUACAUAAGAAUUGAUGAUCAAAUAACCAUGACAUUUUCUGUGAAACAUGUUAAGCUUUAACUUUUCCAAAUUUAUAUGAAAGGAAAAAAAAUGUUAUAAUUGAUAUACAUGUAUCUUCUUUCUUGCUCCUGGCUUACGUACAGAUAUCUAUUAUAAAAUGUAUGUAACAUAAUAUAUAUUUUACCUAAAGAUAAAACUUAAAUCGGUUGACUUUUUAAAUAACUAAUUGCUACCUAAAGAAGUUAAAUUAUGAUCUAGGGACCAGUUUUAUUCAAUAGAAAGAUAGGAUCUUCAACAUGUUUUUUGCAUUUAGCUUUAAGUAUACAGGGUAGCUUUAAGUGUAAUUUAUUUUGACUGAUAUAUUUGUAAUAAGUCCUUUCAUUAGUUCUAUAUUUCAUAUUUUGAACUAUUAAAUCCCUCCCUGCAAAUAUAUCUUAAUAUUUACUAGUUUGUAUAAAAAGGGAAAACUUGAAAAAAACAGCUCUUUGCAUUCUAUACAUGUAUUGCCUCUUCAAAAGCUUGUUGUGUUUCAUAUGCUGCCAAUACUGUAUGUACAAUUUCCUGUGAGGAAAAUCUACAACAGAAUAUUUGUUCCAUUUGUCAGAGGCUUUUCCAUUUAAACAAAUGUGGUACCCAGGAAAGGAUAACCACCUAUAGAGGUAUUUCACUUUUCUUGAAACCCACCAAUGGUGGACAUUUCAAAGUUGCUCUCUGGGUCCCAUGUGUGUUUUUAUUGAACAGCUCAAUUAAACUAGGAACUAAAAUAAAACAGGUACUGCAAUACCUAAACAUGUUGUUAUACAAACCUGCCAAAUGUAACCAGCUGUAAAAUCAGUUUAAAAGUAGUUUGACAAUGUAGUUAACCAAUAUCAGGAAUAUUUACAUGAUAUAAAUAAUAAUGGAUGGCUGUAUUUAUUAUCUUAAAAUCUAAUAUAAAUGUUAUUUCUUAAGAUUAUAUUUUCAAUUUUCUUCCAAAGAUUUCAAACAUCCUAAUUAUAAAAAUGGAAAUUAGUUUGAGACUUUUAAUGACUAUUUCAUACUCCUAGCAUUAAAGUUUUGGAUUUUACGACAAUCGACAUGUGUCAUGUUGGUUGUAAUGGCAUUGAUUUUUUAAAAUAUUAUUAAUUUAAAAUUAUAAUGAAAGAAAUCCAGCCAAAUUAUAGCUUUAUUUAUUGUGAUUCUUGAAAUGUAAUGAAAUAAAAUUAAAAGUUUUAGUUAUUUAAGAUUUGAUAAUUUUGAAAUCAUAAUCCCCAAAAUGUCCAAAUUACAGUAUUUAAAGUUCAACAUGAUUGCUAGAAUAGUUGAGACUUUGUUUUAGACGGACACAUAUUUGAUAAAACAGUAGAUAAUGGCUGUUCUAGUCUUUUGUAUAUUUUCAGUAUAGAAUGUUAAGUAUAGAUGGUUUUUGCUCUAGUCUAUAUAUUUUUGUAUAUGUAAUAUAAAGUGUUGUGGAGUUUUUUUUUGUAGCUAUUUAUUUUGUAAGGUGUACAAUUUAUUGAAAAUGUUCAAUAAAAU
rnacentral:lncRNA from 1 species